UACGUAGGGUGCAAGCGUUGUCCGGAAUUAUUGGGCGUAAAGAGCUCGUAGGCGGUCUGUCGCGUCUGCUGUGAAAACUCAGGGCUUAACCCUGAGCUUGCAGUGGGUACGGGCAGACUAGAGUGCGGUAGGGGAGACUGGAAUUCCUGGUGUAGCGGUGAAAUGCGCAGAUAUCAGGAGGAACACCGGUGGCGAAGGCGGGUCUCUGGGCCGUAACUGACGCUGGAGGAGCGAAAGCAUGGGGAGCGAAACAGG
rnacentral:rRNA from 1 species